rnacentral:rRNA from 1 species
GGGGUAUCUAAUCCCUUUCGCUACCCUAGCUUUCGUCCUCUGAGUGUCAGUNGUGGUCCAGUAGAGCGCUUUCGCCACCGGUGUUCUUCCCAAUCUCUACGCAUUUCACCGCUACACUGGGAAUUCCCUCUACCCCUACCACUCUCUAGUCUCUCAGUUUCCACUGCCUUACGGUAGUUGAGCUACCGCCUUUGACAGCNGACUUGAAAAACCACCUGCGGACGCUUUACGCCCAAUAAUUCCGGAUAACGCUUGCAUCCUCCGUCUUACCGCGGCUGCUGGCACGGAGUUAGCCGAUGCUGAUUCCUCANGNACCGUCAUUUCUUCUUCCUUGAGAAAAGAGGUUUANAAACCUAAGUCUUUCUUCCCUCACGNGGUCUGGGCUCCGUCAGGCUUUCGCCCAUUGCGGAAAAUUCCCCACUGCUGCCUCCCGUAANAAUCNGGGNCGNGUCUCAGUCCCNGUGUGGCUGANCUUCCUCUCAAAAAAGCUACGGAUCGAUG